UCCAAUCUGGCACCGCCAACUGGCAGGUGUGUGAGCUGGCACAGAUUACUUAACAUCUUUUGGUCUGAGUUUCUUCACCCAUAAAAUGAGAUAACAAUCUCCUCCUAGUGUUGCUGUAAAAAAGAUAAUGUAGCCUGGCACACGAUGUCCAUUGGAUUGGCAGAUUCCCUUCAUUCCCAGGUCCUGCUAACCGUGACACUUCACUCACAUUUACUCCAUGGAUUCUCAAAGGGGUCCCUGGCCCAGAAAAAGCGAAGAGCCACCGACAGCCACCCUGGAGAUUAGCAUCUGGAGCUUUCGUUUAUCCAGUUCCUUCCUUGAUCAAUCAAUGGCGGUGAACCACAUGAUGCCCAACAGUGUCCUUGCCUUGUAUUGACCACAGUUGUGGACUGAGUGAGUAAGGACAUCAAAGAGUGGCAAGGACAUCACAGAAGGAAAAUUGGAACAAAGAGCCCAAAAGAACAUUGAAGUGG